GCGCUCUGUGUUCAGUUGGGCCUUGCCUGAUCCACCAGUCUCAGUUCUGCUACCCCAGCAGGGAUCAACAAGGCACACCCCCUGGUGUACUGUUGGCAUAUUGUCAUUCCAGGGUGAGAUGCCUCUGACCUUCCAGGAUGUGGCUGUGUACUUCUCCAGGGCGGAAGGGCAGCAGCUUAGCCCCCAGGAGCGGGCGCUGUACCGGGAUGUGAUGUUGGAGAACUAUGGGAACGUGGCCUCACUGGGAUUCCCAGGCCCUAAGCCAGAGCUGAUCUCCCAGCUGGAGCAAGAGGAGGAGCUGUGGGUCCUGGAUCUUCUCGGGGCUGAGGAACCAGAAGUCUUGAGAAGCUGCGGGACAG
rnacentral:lncRNA from 1 species